UAAAUGGUAUACAAAUAUCAACAUAAAAAUCAAAUGUAAAAUUCGUUAAAAAUUUUCAACAAUUGUGCGACUUCCGCGAAAUCAAUCUUCUGCAAACGGAAUAAAAAAUACCUAAACAAACCAGUGAGCGCAAAAACGUUGGCGAAUACAGUUUGGUUAAAUAACCAACACGGUAUUUAAAAUAACAAACGUAUUUAAUAAAAACGAACGAUGCAAUCAGGAUGGAAGAAUAUCACCAAGAAUUGAGAGUCUGUCAACGCACAUCGAUUGGCAUCGUUAUUUCCGGUUAUCGACCACCAGGGUAGCCCAGAGGAAACGAACGAAGCAACGGACGCAACCGAAAUUACGACGAUCGAUCAGCUCCGUGGAAGUUGCUUCUGGUCUAAUUAUUUCGUGUUUCAUUAAAUCAGACCUCUUCCAGGCGCGAUCGAAACUUUCCAGAUUACGAUGCCUCGACUGGCCACCCUUAUCCCAGCUCUUGAUGACUUGCACGACUUCUCUGACUUGCAAGGAUCUUGUCCCACUUACCAACUUCCCUCGAAUCUUCGUCUCCUUUCCUGAUGUGGACGUUCACGAUACUUUCAGUGUGACGACAGUAACGCGAAAGUCUGGUGUCAGUUUUCGCCAAGUCAAGCAAGAUGGUUACGAUAUUAUUGGCACGGCC
rnacentral:misc_RNA from 1 species